rnacentral:rRNA from 1 species
CAGCACCUCAAGUGGUCAGGAUGAUUAUUGGGCCUAAAGCAUCCGUAGCCGGCUCUGUAAGUUUUCGGUUAAAUCUGUACGCUCAACGUACAGGCUGCCGGGAAUACUGCAGAGCUAGGGAGUGGGAGAGGUAGACGGUACUCGGUAGGAAGGGGUAAAAUCCUUUGAUCUAUUGAUGACCACCUGUGGCGAAGGCGGUCUACCAGAACACGUCCGACGGUGAGGGAUGAAAGCUGGGGGAGCAAACCGGAUUAGAGACCCCAGUAGUCC